rnacentral:rRNA from 1 species
UACGAAGGGGGCUAGCGUUGCUCGGAAUCACUGGGCGUAAAGCGCACGUAGGCGGAUUGCUAAGUCAGGGGUGAAAUCCUGGAGCUCAACUCCAGAACUGCCUUUGAUACUGGCGAUCUUGAGUCCGGGAGAGGCGAGUGGAACUCCUGGUGUAGCGGUGGAAUGCGCAGAUAUCAGGAAGAACACCAACGGCGAAGGCAGCUCGCUAGGACGGUACUGACGCUGAGACGCGAAAGCGUGGGGAGCGAACAGG